UUGGACCUGAUAUCAGACAAGACUACCCGCUGAACUUAAGCAUAUYAAUAAGCGGAGGAAAAGAAACUAACCAGGAUUCCCCUAGUAACGGCGAGUGAAGCGGGAUGAGCUCAAGCUUAAAAUCUCUGUGCAAGUUUUGCAUGGCGAAUUGUAGUCUAUGGAGGCGUUAUCAGUGCGGCCACUUGGGGUAAGUUCCUUGGAAGAGGACAGCAUCGAGGGUGAUACUCCCGUUUGUACCCGAGUGUGUUGUGCGUACGAUACGUUUUCUUUGAGUCGCGUUGUUUGGGACUGCAGCGCAAAGUAGGUGGUAAAUUCCAUCUAAAGCUAAAUAUUGGUGCGAGACCGAUAGCGAACAAGUACCGUGAGGGAAAGAUGAAAAGAACUUUGAAAAGAGAGUUAAAGAGUACCUGAAACUGCUGAAAGGGAAGCGAAUCGUAUCCAGUGUCUAUAAUCCUUGGCAUAUUUCAUUGGCGAGUGUGUGCGUGCUGUGUGUGGGAAGCGGCCUUGUGUUGCUCUCUAUGCGGUUCUGCGUGUGCUUGCUGGUGCCCUGUGUCUUGGUGGGACGUCAGAGUCAGUUCGUAUAUUGCGGGAAAUGGCUGUGGAGGAGGUAGGUCGGGGUUCGCCCUGGCUGUUAUAUCUCUGCGGUUAGUUGUCGUGGUUGGGACUGAGGUGCCUACAACGUGCAUUUAGGUCUAAUGGGUUCUCGUUUCUCAGUCUGCGUGGAUAGCUUGCUAUGCUUGCGGGUGUUUGUGGAGGCGAUUGAGUCUGUUAGUAACUUAGGCCGUUCGGGACUUUGACGAAAUGGAGCGAUUCGGCCCGUCUUGAAACACGGACCAAGGAGUCUAACAUGUGUGCAAGUGUUAGGGUGUGGAAACCCGAGCGCGUAAUGAAAGUAAAGGGUAGCUUUUCGCUGCCUGAGGUAGGAAACCUUGGCGCUUUAUUGUGUCUGGGGUGGCACUAUCGACCGAUCAUGAGCCUUCGUGGCGAAAGAUUUGAGUAGGAGCACAUAUGUUGGUACCCGAAAGAUGGUGAACUAUGCCUGAGUAGGGUGAAGCCAGGGGAAACUCUGGUGGAAGCUCGUAGCGAUUCUGACGUGCAAAUCGAUCGUCAAACUUGGGUAUAGGGGCGAAAGACUAAUCGAACCAUCUAGUAGCUGGUUCCCUCCGAAAUUUCCCUCAGGAUAGCAGCAACUUAUUUACGAUAGUUUUAUGAGGUAAAGCGAAUGAUUAGAGGCCUGGGGGAAGAAACUUCCUCCACCUAUUCUCAAACUUUAAAUCUGUAAGACCUGCAGGCUUCUUAAUUGAGCUUGUGGAUGUGAAUAUCAAGUUGCUAGUGGGCCAUACGGGGUAAGCUCGUCUGGCGAUGCGGGAUGAUCCGAACGCAAAGUUAAAGUGCCAAAAUACCCGCUCACCUAGAUACCAUAAAAGGUGUUGGUUCAUUUAGACAGCAGGACGGUGGCCAUGGAAGUCGGRAAUCCGCUAAGGAGUGUGUAACAAC
rnacentral:rRNA from 2 species